AUAUACUAAGGCGAAGAGCUAAUAGCUUGUUAAGGAACUCGGCAAGUUCUCCUCAUAAGUUUGACAAUAAGAGGAACCACUUAAAAAUAUUUAUGGUGGUGUCACAAAAUCGGAGGCCACGACUGUUUACUAAAAACGCAAUUCAGAGCACUGAUGAGAAUCAUAGUAUUCUGGAUGAAAUUUGCCCGAUGCCAUUAACAUAAAAGAGGUAAUGGGAAACUGUUACUAAUUGAAAGUCUGGUUAAUAGCGGUCUUAACUAUGAGGAUCCUAAGGUAGCAAAAUCAGUUGGCCAUUAAAUGUGGUCUGGUAUCAAUAGUGUAACGAUGGUCUCACUGUCUCUACAACUUGCUCAGUGAAAUUGAAUUAUCCGUGCAGAUGCGGAUUGCCUCCAGGUGGACGGGAGACCCUAUGCAGC
rnacentral:rRNA from 1 species